AUGGCGGAGGCCCCAAGCCAGAUCGAAUCCAUGCGGAAGUGGGUGGUCGAUCACAAGCUCCGAGCCGUAGGUUGCCUGUGGCUUAGCGGGAUCUCCAGCUCCAUCGCGUACAACUGGUCGCGGCCCAACAUGAAGACCAGCGUCAAGCUCAUCCACGCAAGGUUGCAUGCGCAAGCUCUAACGAUCGCUGCCUUAGGUAGUUGUGCAUUAGUAGAGUACUAUGAACAGAACUACGGUUCUUCAGGACCAAAGGUGGACAAAUAUACAAGGCAUUACAUGUCACACUCGCAUAAAGAUUAA
rnacentral:rRNA from 1 species